rnacentral:rRNA from 1 species
UACGGGGGAUGCAAGCGUUAUCCGGAUUUACUGGGUGUAAAGGGAGCGUAGACGGCGUCGCAAGUCUGAAGUGAAAGCCCGUGGCUCAACCGCGGAACCGCUUUGGAAACUGCGUGGCUGGAGUGCUGGAGAGGUAAGCGGAAUGCGCGGUGUAGCGGUGAAAUGCAUAGAUAUCGCGCAGAACUCCGAUUGCGAAGGCAGCAUGCCGGCUCCACACUGACGCUGAGGCACGAAGGCCAGGGGAGCGAAAGGG